GGCCAGACAAGAAAGUUGAAUGAAACCGACCAACGUAGGUGUUUGUUUCUAUAAAAACAAGCCCACAGAGAGAGAGAUAUAUAUAUAUAUAUAUAUAUAUAUAUAUAUAUAUACAACCUUAUAUAUAGAACCUACCAAGUUCCCUAAAAUUAUCCGACACAAAAAGCUUCAAAAUUAUCCAACCCCGAAAGCUUCAAAAUCUCCCCCUUUCUAAUUUCACAAGCAUUUCAAGGUUUAAGAUAUUCAGUCAUGUCUGCAGUGGCAAGUAUAUGGAGUAGUGAGAUGAACAAGCGGACCCGAAAGGAUCAAACCCUUGCCUCUAAUGCCUCUAAUGCCUCUAAUGCCUCGGGCUCAACUGAUGCUGGGUCUAGCCAGGAGGUGCAAGCAAAAGGAGGGAUCAACUCAACUGUCUUAGCUCCGUUUUUCGGCCGAGUCGUGGGUGCCAACUCGAUUUUGACUAUCUAUUCUGAGGCUUCAAUUUCCAUGCUUGUUGAUUGGUUUAGCGCUUGAAGGAUGUUGCUUCACCAUCUCUGUUUCUUUAUCUUCGUUUUCUCUUUAAGUAUUCAAUAAAAGUAUUGUACAGUUUUCAACACUGAAAUUAUGACUUAAGGCCAGUAGUUUUUUU
rnacentral:lncRNA from 1 species